AUAUUUUGUUUGAAUGCAAAUGGUGGUACCGGCAAGUUUCACACCCUGAGAAAUUUAGAGCCGUGUGCCGGGAUGGAGUGAUCUCAUAUCCUACGUGUGAAUACGCAGGGGUUUUUGGAUGAAUGGAAGUGGCACAAAGGAUUCCAGCUCUGGCAAUGAAGGAUCUCCACCGACCUUGUGAUUUGAGCUUAAUUUUUCCUGGCAAUUCCCAUUCUCUUGUGUUUUCUUUGCAGCUUAGUCAAUGUUCCGUCUUGGAAUUUGUCAUGGCUUUUAUGAUUAGAUGAUUGCUUUUACAUUUUAUUCACAUCCUUUUUACGUAAAUGUAUUUACAUUUUGUAAAUGUGUUUACAUUUUGCCUAUCCAAACGGCUGUGUUUGCAUUUUAUUCAUUCUUCAUUGAUCUCAUUGUUAGUUUUAUUAACCAUCGUGUCCUGAAAUAGGCUGGCUUUGCUGGCAUACAGAGACAGGAAUUAAAGCCUGCAGGUACUUUGGUCAUUA